GUUUUUAUUAAACUUUAUUGUUUGUAUAGUUUAGGACUAGGUUGGUUGUUCUUGUUCUAGCAAGCCUACUCAUUGGCACAGAUGCUAAGAUAUUAGGCUUUAUGCUCAGCGGUGUGUGUCAAGCAGGUUGCUACACAGGAUGGGUCUCCUGCGUUGGAGCUGCGGGAUUUACGGCAGAUGCCGCAGUAGCUGCUCUAGUAGGUUUGGGUGGUGGAUUAGUACCCCCGGCUGCAGUAGCUGCUUGCAGCGCUGCGCAGGCAGCGUGUAUGACAGUGUGUGCUGCAUGUGUGCUUAUCCCAAUCUAGUGGUGAACUUGCCAUUCUAAAUGUAAAUAAUACUGUUCAUUUCUCAAAUAAACGAUACUCAUAACUCA